UUAAGAAACCCUCAGGCUUUGUAAGGGAAAGUACGCAAAGCACUCAACCAAUUAGCAUUUGUAGUCAACAUCCGGGUAUCCAGAUGGAGUCAAAAAGAUGAACAGACGCCGUCACACGUGCACCAUCUGCACAGACAUCGAGGACUUAGGAACAGCAUCCCUGGCACCUUUGUUUCAGUGUGACACUGAAACACAUGAAACAAGUCAAAUAAGGGGACAUUUGCAUCUUUGUUGAUUUAUUUGACAAAAGAUAAGAGAUUCAUCGGCAAAUACAAACGAAGAGUGAGCAUGGAGAGAAUGGGCCCGGGGGCGGGGUGUUGGCUGUGGAGGCAUUUCUGAUAAGGCAGUGGGCCCUGAAGAAGCAUCCAUAUAUAGAGACAACACUUAGAACAGAUGCAUGAAGGCAUAACAGUAGCCACAUGAAUGUGUGUAAAACAUGCAGUGACAGGAUAGUGUUCACAAUUUGAAUGUGCCUUAUUCUUUUGCCUUCCUGAAGAUAAAAACCUGAUCUAGUCACCUACAUGCGUGGGAAGAAUAGGGUGGAAUUAGUUGCCAAUAGGUGGUAAGAGAGGCCCUUAGGAGCUUACUUCUGUUUAUUUUCUCAGCCUUUCUGAGAGUAGGCAAUCAAUAAGCAUCAGCUGAAAGACUAAACCAAUGAGUGAAACAAAGGAAAAAGAAGUUUCCACUUCAAGGGAGCAGGAAAGAGACCUUUAUGCACUUACUUGCAGAUUAUCCCAAAACAACAAGAAGGAAAAGAAACAGCAAUACAAAAUGCCUGGUCAGUAAGACUAGGAGUGCGUAACCGGAUCAUGGUGUGAAAACAGAAAGCAGAUGGAGGACUGGGCACUGGUUUAGUGGAGGAAGAGCAAGGUCAAUCUAAGUGCCUGCGAGGGAAAAUACCGAAAAGAAUCGAAGGGAAGCGCAUUGUGGAAAGCCAGACUGGCUCAGGAAUUGAAGGAGGAUGGCAUAACAGAGAAAGCGCAGAACUCCCGGCAAACAAAGGUCCACUCAACACUAAGGACAGAACCAGCCUUCUAGGCUGGCCAAGGAGAGCACUACAAGGUGGCAAAUUUUUGUUGCUUCUGGAACGGUCCUUCUCUGCAAAAGGGAAAAUGAAACUGCUUGAAGCUUGAGUUGACCUUGGUGUUUCUUGAAGUGGAAGUCACAACUGAUCUUU
rnacentral:lncRNA from 1 species